rnacentral:ncRNA from 1 species
UGAGUAAGAGCAUAACUGUUCGGACCCGAAAGAUGGUGAACUAUGCGUGGAUAGGGUGAAGCCAGGAGAAAUCCUGGUGGAGGCUCGCAGCGGUUCUGACGUGCAAAUCGAUCGUCAAAUCUGCGCAUGGGGGCGAAAGACUAAUCGAACCAUCUAGUAGCUGGUUACCGCCGAAGUUUCCCUCAGGAUAGCAGUGUUGUAUUCAGUUUUAUGAGGUAAAGCGAAUGAUUAGGGACUCGGGGGCGCUAUAUUGCC